AGUUGCGCGCUGGGAUUGUUGCCGUGUGCUGGAGCCGGGUGUUUGUGAACCGAAGUUUAGCGAUGGAAAAGAUAAAGUGUUUUGGUUUUGAUAUGGAUUAUACCCUUGCUGGAGAGCCAGUGUAACUCCUUCAAGACUGGAGUGACACACACUGCAUCUGCAUCUGCCUCAUGGGACUUGUCUUUGACACACUAUAUGGAAAUCUUUUGAAAGUGGAUGCCUAUGGAAACCUCUUGGUCUGUGCACAUGGAUUUAACUUUAUAAGGGGUUCUCAGGUAGCUGUUCAGAAGAGACCAGAAACUAGAGAACAGUAUCCAAAUAAAUUUAUCCAGCGAGAUGAUACUGAAAGAUUUUACAUUUUGAACACACUAUUCAACCUACCAGAGACCUACCUGUUGGCCUGCCUAGUAGAUUUUUUUACUAAUUGUCCCAGAUAUACCAGUGAAUUUAGUGCUAGUGAGAGAUGCCACAUUGCCAACCUGAGAGAUGGGACAGCACCAGCAGCUCCAUGCAGGCUCUCACCUCCCACACGGCCCCUCUCCUUGCCAGUGUGCUGCAGCCACCACUUCUGAUUGGCUUCUCCUGGGAAUGAAGACGGCCAGCAGAGGUGCUAAUUGUGACAACUGAGUGGGAGGUUUGUGUGAUGAUUAUCUGUCCAAGCAGAAUUACACUAAAACCCCCCAACUCAUUUCACAGCAGCUACCCAAGAGCCAUUCAGGGAUGUUGUGAAACAGGAUUUAAAGAUGGGGACCUCUUCAUGUCCUACCGGAGUAUGUUCCAGGAUGUAAGAGAUGCUGUUGACUGGGUUCAUUACAAGGGCUCCCUUAAGGAAAAGACAGUUGAAAACCUUGAGAAGUAUGUAGUCAAAGAUGGAAAACUGCCUUUGCUUCUGAGCCGGAUGAAGGAAGUAGGGAAAGUAUUUCUUGCUACCAACAGUGACUAUAAAUAUACAGAUAAAAUUAUGACUUACCUGUUUGACUUCCCACAUGGCCCCAAGCCUGGGAGCUCCCAUCGACCAUGGCAGUCCUACUUUGACCUGAUCUUGGUGGAUGCACGGAAACCACUCUUUUUUGGAGAAGGCACAGUACUGCGUCAAGUGGAUACUAAAACUGGCAAGCUGAAAAUUGGUACCUACACAGGGCCCCUACAGCAUGGUAUCGUCUACUCAGGAGGUUCUUCUGAUACGAUCUGUGACCUGUUGGGAGCCAAGGGAAAAGACAUUUUGUAUAUUGGAGAUCACAUUUUUGGUGACAUUUUAAAAUCAAAGAAACGGCAAGGGUGGCGAACUUUUUUGGUGAUUCCUGAACUCGCACAGGAGCUACAUGUCUGGACCGACAAGAGUUCACUUUUCGAAGAACUUCAGAGCUUGGAUAUUUUCUUGGCUGAACUCUACAAGCACCUUGACAGCAGUAGCAAUGAGCGUCCAGACAUUAGUUCCAUCCAGAGACGUAUUAAGAAAGUAACUCAUGACAUGGACAUGUGCUAUGGGAUGAUGGGAAGCCUGUUUCGCAGUGGCUCCCGGCAGACCCUUUUUGCCAGUCAAGUGAUGCGUUAUGCUGACCUCUAUGCAGCAUCUUUCAUCAACCUGCUGUAUUACCCAUUCAGCUACCUCUUCAGGGCUGCCCAUGUCUUGAUGCCUCAUGAAUCAACGGUGGAGCACACACAUGUAGAUAUCAAUGAGAUGGAGUCUCCUCUUGCCACCCGGAACCGCACAUCAGUGGAUUUCAAAGACACUGACUAUAAGCGGCACCAGCUGACACGGUCAAUUAGUGAGAUUAAACCUCCCAACCUCUUCCCACUGGCCCCCCAGGAAAUUACACACUGCCAUGAUGAAGAUGAUGAUGAAGAGGAGGAGGAGGAGGAAGAAUAAGGAGGAAAACCAAAACCCCAAGCACCCAUUAAACAAGUCCUGGCAGGACUCACAGGAACAAACGAUGUCCCUGUUAGGGUUCUGCUGGGGGGAGGGAGGGGGCUCCAUGAAAGGUACGUCUGAAAAGUUUCUGAAGAUUUUAUUAUCAUAGAUACUUGUUUUGGUUUUGUGUAUCUGUACUCUUUGCAGAUGGUCCAAAAUUGUAAUGGAGUCUGUAUUAGAAGAAAAUAAGGGUAAAAUCACGCUGAACUGCAUGUAUAUGGCUCCACUGUGGCUCGUGACACUUUUUUAAAAUCAUCCAUAUGUCAGUGUAUCUAGAUACACGAGGAAAAGGAAAGAGUCUCAGAGUGGAACAAAGAGUGGGAAGAGGUGAUCUGUAAUGUUACAAAUUGUGCUAUUACUCCAAGAUCCAGCUUUUCCAGUGCAUUACAUGGUAUUGUAUAUCAGUGGAGAAAUGUAUUAUUUCCAUGAUCAAAUAGUCUGUUAAGGUCAAGUUUCCUUUUAUAAGCCUUUAAUUCAUCCUCAGUGACUCUGGCAAGGCUGCUUCUCUGUCAAUCACUGGCUUUGCACAGAAGUAUCCUCUACUUGCUUUAGGGCAGGAUUCUAGUUUGAGGGAAAAGACAGUAUCUUUAUUACCUUUUGUUUGUUUAAUAGCACAAAUGCUUAUUAUUUGUUAUCCAAAAACCACCUUUUUCUUAUCUGUGAUAAAUCUGUAGAGAGAAUUUAGCUGCCAGUGGACAAAGGAACAAGCCCCC
rnacentral:sRNA from 1 species